rnacentral:rRNA from 1 species
UACGUAGGGCGCAAGCGUUAUCCGGAAUUAUUGGGCGUAAAGAGCUCGUAGGCGGUUUGUCGCGUCUGCCGUGAAAGUCCGGGGCUCAACUCCGGAUCUGCGGUGGGUACGGGCAGACUAGAGUGAUGUAGGGGAGACUGGAAUUCCUGGUGUAGCGGUGAAAUGCGCAGAUAUCAGGAGGAACACCGAUGGCGAAGGCAGGUCUCUGGGCAUUAACUGACGCUGAGGCGCGAAAGCGUGGGGAGCAAACGGG